GUCGUGCAAUUCGAUAUAAUCUGAAAUUAUUUAUAUUAUUGUUUUUAUUUAUUUAUAUGUAUUUUAGAAUAAUCAAUUUAUUUGUUUUUGUAUUUGUUUUGGAUUUAAUUUAUUAAAUUAUAUUAUAUUUAUACUGUAGAGGUAAUAUUUAUUAAUUUUUAUAAGUAUAUUUUGUUUAUAGUACCUUGUGUAUCAGGGUAUAUUAAAUUUUAUUAUAUAUUUUUUAUUUCCCGAUUUUGAAGGAUUUAAUUUAUUAUUUUAUUUAUUGUUUUAUAAUUAUUAAUAAUAAUAAGUUGGUAAUGAGAUGUUAUUCGUCUUUAACUAUAUCUGGUUUUCUGAGAAAUGAAUUUAAUUCAUAUAUUUUUAAUGUAAUUUUCUUUAUUUUUAGUAAUUAUUAUAUUGAUAUUAAUAUUAAAGGAGAUAAGUUCUUUAAUUUAUUUUUAUAAAUUUGGUUAGGAGUUAUUUUUGUUGGUUUUAUAAUAACUAUCAUUUUAAGUUUGUUAAAAUUUUAUUUUUUAAGUAGUUUUAUUUAUAUUAUUUUUAAAUUUUUAUUGGAAUUAUUUAUUUAAUAAAUAAUUAAUUUAUAUUAAUGAUGUAAUUAGUAAAUUUUAUUUUAUUUGUAAUUUUAUUAUUGUUAUUUUUUAAAAAGGAAUUAGGCAAAUAAAUGUUCUCGCAUGUUUAUCAAAAACAUCUUUUCUUGUAAAUAUUUAUGAAGUAUAACCUGCCCACUGAAUAUUUUAAAGGGCCGCGGUAUUUUGACCGUGCAAAGGUAGCAUAAUCAUUAGUCUUUUAAUUGGAGACUGGAAUGAAUGGUUGGACGAGGGACAAACUGUUUCUUUUUAAUUUUAUUGAAUUUAAAUUUUAAGUAAAAAUACUUAAAUUUUUUUAUGGGACGAGAAGACCCUAUAGAGUUUUAUAUUUUUAUAAUUAUUUGUUUGAUUAAUGAUUAUUUAUAGAAUAUUUUGUUGGGGAGACAGGAAGAAAUAAAUAAACUCUUUCUUUUAUUUGUAUAUUAAUGUAUAUAUUAUAAUGAUCCAAGAUUGUUGAUUAUAAGACUAAAUUACCUUAGGGAUAACAGCGUAAUCUUUUUGGAGAGUUCAUAUCGAUAAAAGGGUUUGCGACCUCGAUGUUGGAUUAAGAUAAAAAUUGGGGGUAGUAUUUCAAUAUUUUAGGUCUGUUCGACCUUUAAAAUCUUACAUGAUCUGAGUUCAGACCGGCGUGAGCCAGGUUGGUUUCUAUCUAUAAUUAAUUUAUAUAUCUUAGUACGAGAGGACCAGAUAUUGGAAAUAAUUUUAUUUAUUUUUGAAUAUUAUUAAUAAUUGAAACUAUUUUGGCAGAUAAGUGCAAUGGAUUUAGAAUCUUUAUAUAUAGAUUU
rnacentral:rRNA from 1 species